AAGGUUGGAGGAGAUGACGGGCGGGCCUGCAAUGCGCUGCGUAGGGAGCCUGGGCGGUGCCCCACACACUCGCCCGCUAGCUGCAGGGCUUCAGGAAAGAGGAGCACAUCGGGACUUGGAUUCUUCCCACAGGAGGGCGGGUUACAUCCCCGUCAGAGGGUUGCCGGGAGGGCAGAUAAAAUCAGACAUGAGGAUUCUUGCCCUCUGGUGGGAACCCAGAAGGAGGUCAGGGAGGGAAGGUCUCCCUUCCUCUUGUUGCGGGUGGUUGGUCUCUGCCUAGAUCCGCAGAGGGCAGAAAUUAGCGAUGUCUACUACAGCUUCACGCCCAGGAAACGCGCUGUAUCUGCACCGUCCAGUAGGGAUGGCAUCAGGCCCGUGGGGUCACUGAGUCCUGGAGGUGCAGACGGUGCAGCCAGCUUCUCAUGCCAUUCAACUUUGGAUAAAUUUAAAUAUCAAUAGCUAUGUGUGACUCUCAUGCUGGACAGUAGAUGUAGAAAGUUUCCAUCAUCACAGAAGACUCUGCUGGUCGGUGCUGGUCUAGAGGGAGCAGUCAGGGUCCUGGGGAGUGAAGGGAGAUCCCCACAGUGGAUGUGGGAGGACUCAGAGCCUUCUCUGUCCAGCUCAGGACUCUAACUCCUCCUCCUUCUGAUUCCUCCCUCCCAGGACCCACGCAGAGGCCGUCGGACAACAGUCACAAUGAGCAUGCACCUGCUUCCCAAGGCCUGAAAGCUGAGCAUCUGUAUAUUCUCAUCGGGGUCUCAGUGGUCUUCCUCUUCUGUCUCCUCCUCCUGGUCCUCUUCUGCCUCCAUCGCCAGAAUCAGAUAAAGCAGGGGCCCCCCAGAAGCAAGGACGAGGAGCAGAAGCCACAGCAGAGGUGAGGCCCCUGGGAAUGACUCCUGGACCUCCACCCAGUCCUCGGCCGCCAGGCUGCCCCUGAGGUUCAC
rnacentral:lncRNA from 1 species